rnacentral:rRNA from 1 species
CUCCGGUUGAUCCUGCCGGACCCGACUGCUAUCAGAGUGGGACUAAGCCAUGCGAGUCAACAUAGCAAUAUGUGGCAUACGGCUCAGUAACACGUAGUCAACAUGCCCAGGGGACGUGGAUAACCUCGGGAAACUGAGGAUAAACCUCGAUAGGCCAUGAUUUCUGGAAUGAUUCUUGGCUCAAACCUAUAUGGCCCCUGGAUUGGACUGCGGCCGAUCAGGCUGUUGGUGAGGUAAUGGCCCACCAAACCUGUAACCGGUACGGGCUCUGAGAGGAGGAGCCCGGAGAUGGGCACUGAGACAAGGGCCCAGGCCCUAUGGGGCGCAGCAGGCGCGAAACCUCUGCAAUAGGCGAAAGCCUGACAGGGUUACUCUGAGUGAUUUCCGUUAAGGAGAUCUUUUGGCACCUCUAAAAAUGGUGCAGAAUAAGGGGUGGGCAAGUCUGGUGUCAGCCGCCGCGGUAAUACCAGCACCCCGAGUGGUCGGGACGUUUAUUGGGCCUAAAGCAUCCGUAGCCGGUUCUACAAGUCUUCCGUUAAAUCCACCUGCUUAACAGAUGGGCUGCGGAAGAUACUAUAGAGCUAGGAGGCGGGAGAGGCAAGCGGUACUCGAUGGGUAGGGGUAAAAUCCGUUGAUCCAUUGAAGACCACCAGUGGCGAAGGCGGCUUGCCAGAACGCGCUCGACGGUGAGGGAUGAAAGCUGGGGGAGCAAACCGGAUUAGAUACCCGGGUAGUCCCAGCCGUAAACGAUGCAGACUCGGUGAUGGGUUGGCUUCGCGCUAACCCAGUGCCGCAGGGAAGCCGUUAAGUCUGCCGCCUGGGUAGUACGGUCGCAAGACUGAAACUUAAAGGAAUUUGGCGGGGGAGCA